AUUGAACGCUGGCGGCAGGCCUAACACAUGCAAGUCGAACGAGUGGCGGACGGGUGAGUAGUGUCUGGGAAACUGCCUGAUGGAGGGGGAUAACUACUGGAAACGGUAGCUAAUACCGCAUACCAUCGGAUGUGCCCAGAUGGGAUUAGCUAGUAGGUGGGGGAAAGGCACACCGAGGCGACGAUCCCUGGCUGGUCUGAGAGGAUGACCAGACACACUUGAACUGAGACACGCUCCAGACUCCUACGGGAGGCAGCAGUGGGGAAUAUUGCACAAUGGGCGCAAGCCUGAUGCAGCCCUGCCGGGUGUAUGAAGAAGGCCUUCGGGUUGUAAAGUACUUUCAGCGGGGAGGCGUUACCCGCAGAAGAAGCACCGGCUAACUCCGUGCCAGCCGCCGCGGUAAUUC
rnacentral:rRNA from 1 species